UACGGAGGGAGCAAGCGUUACUCGGAAUUACUGGGCGUAAAGGGCGCGUAGGCGGUCUUGUAAGUCUUGUGUGAAAUCCCUCGGCUUAACUGAGGAACUGCACGGGAUACUGCGAGACUUGAGAUCGGGAGAGGGAAGCGGAAUUCCGGGUGUAGCGGUGAAAUGCGUAGAUAUCGGGAGGAACACCAGUGGCGAAGGCGACUACCUGGCCUGUUUCUUGACGCUGAGGCGCGAAAGCUAGGGGAGCAAACGGG
rnacentral:rRNA from 1 species